rnacentral:rRNA from 1 species
GGUCGGUUAAAAUCGCUGUACCUGCCCAGAAACAAAUAAGUCCAAGUCUGUAACGUGUUGACUUCCCGUAGACGUGGUCUAUUAUCUUCGAGACGUUCCCGGUCGUGCCGAUACCAAACGAACACUCCUCCCCAACUAAAAGACUCAACGUCGGACCUAUUAUACAUAGAAUACUAGGUCUUUUCCUUUCUUUUUGUUAGACAAAGAAUGGCACAACCAACCAACCGAUGUGCGUGUAAAGGAUACUUGGUACGGAAUUAUUAGCUCGGCGGUGACAUUAGAGUGUAGCACUAGCCAGGAGUGAACUACUUCAUCGUAUGGUUGUU